rnacentral:rRNA from 1 species
AAAAACAUCACCUCUAGCAUUACUAGUAUUAGAGGCACUGCCUGCCCAGUGACAUUAGUUAAACGGCCGCGGUAUCCUGACCGUGCAAAGGUAGCAUAAUCAUUUGUUCUCUAAAUAGGGACUUGUAUGAAUGGCCACACGAGGGUUCUACUGUCUCUUGCUUCCAAUCAGUGAAAUUGACCUCCCCGUGCAGAGGCGGGGAUACACAAAUAAGACGAGAAGACCCUAUGGAGCUUUAAUUAACUAACUCAAAGAAAAUAUAAAUAACCGCCAAGGGAUAAUAAUCUUCUACCUGAGUUAGCAAUUUCGGUUGGGGUGACCUCGGAGAACAGAAAAACCUCCGAGUGACUAAAAUCUAGAUUUACCAAUCAAAAUGUAGUGUCACUUAUUGAUCCAAAAUAUUUGAUCAACGGAACAAGUUACCCUAGGGAUAACAGCGCAAUCCUAUUCAAGAGUCCAUAUCGACAAUAGGGUUUACGACCUCGAUGUUGGAUCAGGACACCCCAAUGGUGCAGCCGCUAUUAAAGGUUCGUUUGUUCAACGAUUAAAGUCCUACAUGAUCUGA